rnacentral:lncRNA from 1 species
GGCGAAGCGAAACUCGCCGUCCCACGUGCAGCCGUCUCCCACGACGCGCCGCCGCCGCCAAGGGAGGGCCAGCGCGGCCUCGCCCCGGCCUGCCUCCGACUGCCGGCCGCUGCCAGGACGCCGCGCCUCCGCCAGACGCGCCCGGGGGCGGGGCGGGUGAUGUGCCGCUGCGCCCGCGCUUUCCUGCUCUCCCCCGCUCGUCUGCCCGCGGAGGGCGGCCCCGGGGUACCCCUCCCCACCUGAUGGCACCGACGUCCCUGGCCUUAGCGCCCCACCCCGACUCUUCCUCAUGGCGGGCACCUGUGUUUAUCAAACUAGCCGGACCACAGGUGCCCUGCUGAGUGCGCACCGGGCGCUGAAACCAGAGCCGCGCUCUACAGGGUCCAGAGUGAGGCCCACAGAGUGGAUGGAACCCCUGAGCCACACAGCUGGUCAGAGAAUGGCACAGACACAACCCAGGCCUCCAUCUACUCGACAGACCUCACCACGAGCCUACUAUGUGCUGGGUGUGGUCCCCACCCUCUGGGAUCUCCUGCGACCACGCUGAGUGCCGAGGACAGGAGCCCUGUCUACACCUGUGUGUCCCCUUCUCCCCUCCAGGACCAGCCCAGCAGAGGCUCAGGAGCCCAGAGGACAACAGUCCCUGCAGUGCGCCUUCCAUCCACUGGGAGGCACAAGACCAGUCUGAACAGCAGAGGGAGCAGGAGGAUGGGGCUACAGGGAAAGGGUCCUGGCUGGAGGCCUGUGGGCAGGCAGGGCUGUUCUGGGCCCUCUGGAGAGGAGCUGGUUGACAGCUUGUUCUAGGGUUGCAGGAGGGCACAGUCCCUGAAAUGCCCACGGGGUCUACACCCCAAGACCUUGAUCUGAGGUAGGAGAGGAAGACAGCUGCAUCCCAUUCUGCCCCAUUCCACCCUGCGUGGACUUUGAGAUCCAGGUGGGCGCCAUGGGAAAGGUAGCAGGGUGGGUCAGUGCUGUCUGGAAAGAUUAGAUAAGGAGGAGGAAGGGAGCUAGAUAGAAGUGGGGCAGGUGACUAUCAAGGAGCCUGACUCAAAACCUACCACCUUGGCCACCAUCAGAGCACCAUGGGAGGGGGAAUGACAGACUGGGGGAAUGACAGACUGGGGAAAUCCCCGAGGGACCCUGAACAACCCUCCCCCCACCCCCAUUCAGCUGUGGAUGAGAAAACUGUCCCUGGGGCAUGGAGGAGAAACUGACCCGCCCAGGUCACACAAGUUAAUGGAACAGCAAGUUCCAGAUCCCAGGUCUUCUGGCUCCCAGCCCCAGACACUGGCUGUGGGUGGAGGAUUACCCAGGUGCCAAGGCAAGAGACUGAAGGCACAAACUGUUUCAGUAUAAUAAAAAAAAUAGAAUAAGAAUAGUCAUAAUACAAAUUAGAUAUAGAGAUGAUCAUGGACAAUUAGCAAUCACUAUUAAUCUUUAGCUUUUAAUAUUACUCUUUGUUGCAUUACUAAUAUAACCUAGGAAUAACCGGUGGGUAUAGGGUCAGGUGCUGAAGGGACAUUGUGAGAAGUGACCUGGAAGGCAAGAGGUGAGCCCUCUGUCACGCCCACAUAAGGGCCGCUUGAGGGCUCCUUGGUCAAGUGGUAACGCCAGUGUCUGGGAAUGCACCCGUUAAUUAGCAGACCGCGAAAGGGAGUCUCCUUUCCUUGGAAGAGUUGGGGAACACUCUGCUCCACCAGCUUCUUGUGGAAGGCUGGAUAUUAUCCAGGCCUGCGCGCAGUCAUCCGGAGGCUUAAACCCUUCCCUGUGGUGCUGUGCUUCAAUGGUCCCACUCCUUGUCCACUUUCAUGCUCCUCCCGUACUCCUGGUUCCUCUUUGAAGAGCGCAGUAGAUAGCGGUAGAAGAAAUAGUGAAAGUCUUAAAGUCUUCGAUCUUUCUUACAAGUGCAGAGAAGAAAACGCUGACAUAUGCUGCCUUCCCUCUCUGCUUCGGCUACCUAAAAGGGAAGGGCCGCCUAUCCUGUAAUCACAUGACUUGCUUCACCUUGUCAAUCACUUAGAAGAUUCACCCUCCUUACCCUGCCCCCUUGUCUUGUAUGCAAUAAAUAUCAGUGACCCCAGCCGUUCAGGGCCACUACUGGUCUCCGCGUCUUGAUGGUAGUGGUCACCCCGGCCCAGGUGUUUUUUCUUUAAAAAAAAAAAAAAAAAAAAAAAAA